UGGUAAACCAGCGGGUGCGAU
rnacentral:siRNA from 1 species